rnacentral:rRNA from 1 species
UACGUAGGGUGCGAGCGUUGCCCGGAAUUAUUGGGCGUAAAGAGCUCGUAGGCGGUUUGUCGCGUCUGCUGUGAAAACCUAAGGCUCAACCUUGGGCUUGCAGUGGGUACGGGCAGACUAGAGUGCGGUAGGGGUGACUGGAAUUCCUGGUGUAGCGGUGGAAUGCGCAGAUAUCAGGAGGAACACCGAUGGCGAAGGCAGGUCUCUGGGCCGUAACUGACGCUGAGGAGCGAAAGCGUGGGGAGCGAACAGG